rnacentral:rRNA from 1 species
CCUACGGGCGUCAGCAGUGGGGGAUAUUGCACAAUGGGGGGAACCCUGAUGCAGCGAUGCCGCGUGGGUGAAGAAGCGCCUCGGCGCGUAAAGCCCUGUCAGCAGGGAAGAAAAUGACGGUCCCUGAAGAAGAAGCCACGGCUAACUACGUGCCAGCAGCCGCGGUCAUACGGAGGGGGCAAGCGUUAUCCGGAUUUACAGGGUGUAAAGGGGGCGCAGCCGGCGAUGCAAGCCAGGAGUGAAAGCCCGGGGCGCAACCCCGGGACUGCUCUUGGAACUGCGUGGCUGGAGUGCAGGAGGGGCAGGCGGAAUUCCUGGUGUAGCGGUGAAAUGCGUAGAUAGCAGGAGGAACACCGGUGGCGAAGGCGGCCUGCGGGACUGCAACUGACGUUGAGGCCCGAAAGCGUGGGGAGCGAACAGGAUUAGAUACCCCUGUAGUC